CCCAUCUUUUUUUAUUUUUACAUUUUGAGGGGCUAUGUUUUUAACGACCGAUUUUUACUGGUCGUGUUGAGUUGCGGGUGUUUUUUUUUUCGUUUAGUUAGCCGAGCCUAACAGCGUCUUUUCUUCCUCGGUGCUGUUAUCUUCGUUUUGUGUACAGCUUGCCACCGAGCAGCGUUUGACUCUUGUGUCAAACCCAAAUGGAGCUAUAUAACCUACCCUCCAAAGAAGAGAAAAACACACACAAAACAACUCUGAAUACCUUUUUUUUUUUUUGUUGAGUUGUAAAGCCUUUUAUUUUUUUGCGGAAAACCAAGAAGACAUACACGCAAAUGUUCUUCUUUUCGUAUAGAAAUAUUAGGAUUUCUUCGUGGGGCUUUCCGCACGAAAAAUCAACAAAAAAGGCUCUGUUUUCUUUUGGGUGGCUUUUUUUUUUAACACACGAGGAACGAGAAUAUACAUAAGAGCGAGAAAAGAAAAAUCAGGAUGUGUGUUGAAUCUAGACACACACGCAACGAAGCCGAGAAGACUUGACGAUAAGACGUUUCGGUGGGACGAUGGAGAGAGAACAAAUAGACGACGAAGAGAAAGGCAAGUAACCUCAGAGACCACGUUGGGGUUUGAGGUCGUUAAAAAAAAGGAAAAAAAACAACUCUAAACACGAGGAAAGGAAAAAAAAGAAAAGAGGCACAGAGAGAGAGAGAAGGGCGACAUUAAAAAACACCUAUACGCCAUCGAGAAAAAGAACUUGCGGCGUAAUGUGGUAUGAUGAUGUGCUUCUGCUGCUGUUAAAAACUUGUUGCUGCCGUAGGUGCGGGCGCCGCAGGUCAACUCAACUACCUUUACCUUCUAUCGCUUUGGCUCUGCGAGCGGUGGCGGUCGUAUACGAUAAUGGCAAUAAUUGACUUUUAAUGACGCUGAAAAAAGGAAAAAAAAAAGGGAAUGAGGCUCCUUUUUUUUUCUACUUUACUUCUUACAUUUAUUUAAAAAAAAACUGAAAUAAAAUAUUUAGUUGCGCACGUUCCCGAUCCUUUUGGCCAUUUCACCUUUGGAAAACUAUUAGACUUUUUGCGUUAACACUCUGCGUUUUUUUUUUUAAUUCGGAUUCUAAAUGUACCAUCUCCAUUUUAGUUUUUUUUUUUCGUGUCGCAAAGGUAAAAAUAGAUUUUAGAUUUUAUUUUUUUUUUUUACAUUUUUAAAGCGUCAUUUUAAACGGAGCGGCAACAGGUCACCGAUUGUUCUGUUUGUGUUUUGCCUACAUGACAAGUGCUUCGAGAGAGAACUUGUGAUGAGGUUCGAGAAAGUUGACGUCGUCGUGCUAUGUAUGCGUGGCCCGCUUGUCCCUCUGCCCGUCUGUGUUUGCAUGACUAUUUGGUUAUGAAAUCUUCGCCCAAAAAAGAAGAAGAAAACCAAAAAAAAAAAAAAACAGUUCGGCUCUCUCCUUUUUUUUUUCUUCCUCCCCUCACCGUCUUGUUUAUACAAGAGAGUCACCUUUAUUUUUAUUUUUUUAUAUUUUCCUUGAAAAAAGAUUUUGGACAGAGAAAGAAAAAUGGAGACGACGUGGCACACAGAACACACAAGACAAAGGUGUUUCACCUUAGGCGAAAGAAAGUAGGCGAUUGUUUUUUUCGUGCUGUCGUCAACCUGAUUUUGCACCCGGAGAACUAUUGAAUACCUUGGAACAGAAAAGGUUUUCUUUUUCUUUUUGUUGUUUCACCUCUUGUGAGAUGGUAAUCUACCGACGACGACGAAGAUCGGCUCGCGCUUUCUUUAUAUAUUACAUGUUGUUUCCCUUUUCUUCUUCUUCUUCUUUCGUAUUCACUGGGACAACGGACCUACACACACACAAAAAGUCGGCGCCCCGGGAUAACCAUCUGAGAAAUGCUCUGGAAUGUCGCCAUGGAAAUCCGACAACGGGACGAUGCCAUGUGUCAUCGACGACCGCGUGACCUCGUCAUCGCUGACCUUCUUUAUAUUUCUCUUCGAAACAGUUUUCCUUAUUAGAAAGCUUCCCUCCCCAUUUUUAAUUACUUCACGUUAAGUCUUUUGUAAUAUUCAAAAAAAAAGAGAAGAAAAAAAUUCCCCUAUGCUUAGGGAUUUUUAAUAAAGCGGAAAUCAUGCAGAGUGUGGGGGUAGGUGGAGGGUGAAACGCACAGGGAUGUGAGAAAAAAAACAAAAUCCCUUGCAUGCUUGACCCCAUGCUGUCGCAACAUGUAGGAGAGAAUCUCCCGCACCACGGGAACAUCAUCAGAUUUUCAAAGUGGAAAACGGAAAAGAAGGGACAGAACAACAGAGUGCGAGUGAAUUUGUUGUUCCUAUCGUUUUAUUAUUCCACCUACGCAUUCAUUUUUUUGGGGAGAUUUGAAAAUCAUCAGCUGCGCGGCUUACAAAUUUGGUUGUUCGAAUAAAAAAACCAACUGCUGUUGUGUGUUUAUGUGAAUCUAAUAUUCAAUCGCGCGAAAAUGAGUUGGUGUUUAUGUAUCGAUCGAUUUGAUUUGAAGAUUGAAACAAAUACGGAAACAACAAAGAGGGCAACAUUCCUCGUGUUGCGCCGUGUGUGUCCGCAAGAGACCGGCCAGAAGCCAAGUCGACCGUGAUUCGACACAUCCACUCAAAAGAGAAUCAGAAAACUGUAAAAAGCAGAGAGGUUGGAGAAUGGGAAAGCGUUUGUGUGUUUUUUCCAGUUUCCCUCUCAUCUCUUUCGGAUGAGAAACUGGCAAAGAAUGACCGAAACUAGUAAUUUUUUCCAGUCGGCAUAACUCGCGGUAUAUAGUCAGCCAGUUUUUUUUUUUUGUUUUUGUUCUCCUCCUUUCUAUAAAGAAUGAGAGAACAGCAAAAGGCAACCGUUUUAUAAUCAUACAUCUACCAGUUUUUAAAAGUCAGGAGCAUAUACACUAUACAGAUAUGUGUAUAUACAUAAGACUGCCCCCCUCCCCCACCCCCUCUAAAGAAAAUUCCCGACCCACAUCCUCUUCAUUCUGGAUUGUGGCAAGUCAAACUGACUGCAAUUAUCGAGGCGUGUCCGCUAUAGCAUAAAAGUAUGCGCUCUAUAGUGAUGUUUUCUUUGUUUUUAUUCGACCACAAUAAGUGCGGGGGUAUAGGUAUAUCGCAAAGCCCGCCUUCCUCGUAUCCUGCUGUAUCUUUGCCCAUCCUCGGUUGCGGGUAUAAAAUGUUUAAAACAUAUAAAUUCUUUUUGAUAGUAUAGAUCCUCGUCGAGAAUGAAAUUACCACGCACGCAACACGCAACUAUAAACAUCGAGAAGUUAAAUGGAUAUAAUCCGCGCGCGCGCGCGCGCUGGAUCGACUCUGUUGUUCUGCCGAGCGAAAAAAAGAAAGAGAUAACAGUGUGUUCGAGACACACACACACACACUUUGUGCGGAACACGCGAUGAUCUAUGGACACGAACAUCAUAGUUCACCGUCAACGCCAAAAAUCGCCGACGAACGAUAGAUUAUUAUUACUAUAUUAGAUUCCGACAACCAUAUGGAAACACAAAAACGUGUAUAGAUGGAAAAGGAGGAGCAAAAGGAUGUAACCUGCUCAUUUGUAUAAUAAUUUUAAAGAACAAAACACGGGACGCUUAUUAGGCUACAAUAGACGUGUCAACUGUUGAUCCAUUGACAUCCGCUUUUAACCAGCUGACUUUUUCUUUGUUUUACAAUGAUACGGCUAACUUGUUUGAGUUACACGAAGAGGAGGGGCCCGAACAAGAACAGCACGGUGUAAUUAAGGUCACCUGUUCGUUUCUCUUUCUUUGUUUGCGUAAUAAAGGAGAGGAAAAAACAAAACAACUGCAUAAAGUUUUGGAAUUCUUGGAAUUAACUAAAGUUCCAGACGAUCCAUUUUAUCUUUUUGUAGUUUUGUGUGUGUGUUUGUGUGUGUGUGUGAUGUAAUUUGGCGACUAUGUCGUAGCGAUCUGCACGCAACAAUGGCGACACGAUCCUUCAAUGAUAAACGCAACAACGAUGAAUUAUUUUCGAAUUGCUUUGAUGGAUGGUAUCUGCGUUCUCUUGUUUGUUUUAUUUUUAUGGCUGCCUUUUUCGUGAUAGAUUGCGCUGAUAGUGUGAACCUCCUUUGGAAAACUGAAUAAAAAAAGCGGCCAGAGAAAGUUAUGAUCGGUCAUUUCGUUGGAGGCGACAAGGAACAUUGUAACUAGGCAAAUAACAACCAACCAACAACACGACACUGUAAUAACGAAGGACAAGCGGCUUCGAUUCACACAACCCGGCGCCACCAAUGCCAAACAAGAAAAUUACUAAUAAAAAGGAUUAUUUUCUUCUGAUAUCGAAGUCUCUUCUUUCUGCUCGGCUGUAUGUCUACGUCCCAUGUAUCGUAUGUAAAAUAUCUGCGUUCAUUGUUGCGCGGGGGUGGCCGUAUACCAAGAGAAAGGGGAGCGUGACACCCGCAAAGAGGGCUGCGUGAAACUCGAGACACACGCGCGAGCGAAGAGAAAAUAUGCAGGCAAAACUUGAAAUGAAAGAGAAAAAAGAAAAUGCCUCUCACGAUGUUUCCGUUCACUUCACACAAUCGCCCGCCGGAGCCUAUAAACGGGCAGCGAUUAUUGGGUUACACUGUGAGCGGCGUUCUAGUGCGUCGGCGAGAUCCAUAGGAACGUGAACGACGAUCGGUAUACCAUCGGCACGCCUCUCUAAAAAGUCUACCAGACGCAGACCGCACGCAGGAGCAGCAGCAAAAAAAAUGUAAAUGAGCCCAUUACGUAAAUUGGCUGUUCAAAAAGUCUCUCACAGCCCAUCUGAUUUUUUGUUGUUGUUGUUGAUUUUUUAUUUAUUUGACUUUGCGGGCGCGUGUUUCGUGGCCGGCGCAAAUUGGGAACAAACCGGAGGAAGUGACGUCAUCUCUGCGUAAUCGUAUAUUUAAAAAAAAAAAAGAAAAGAAAAACGCGUAGUACAGUGAAAACAUAUUCAAAGGCGGACUCCUCCAAUUCCCACGUCCGGAAUGUCUUCCAGCCGCGUCAAUCACGAAUCGUAGCAGCACAAAGAUACCAAUUAGUCUCCGCCCUUUACGUCUAUGUAUAUCCGUUCCUCCUCUUUUUACCAAUGUUGGAAAAUUCUGAAAGGGCUUCGGUCAUCAUUCAUAGACAUUUUUUUGUUUAAUGUUCACGUAUAGGAAUCGAGUGAGGAAGAGAGAGGACGUCCUAAUUAUAUAGACAUGUGGUAAUGUCAUAAUAUUCCUGAUUUUGACUUCCUUUCAUGUAGCAUACUGUUUUUGAAUAAAAUAAACGCUGGCUGUCUGAUUCAUUUCCUCCAUUUA